rnacentral:rRNA from 1 species
AGCUCCAAGAGUGUAUAUUAAAGUUGUUGCGGUUAAAAAGCUCGUAGUUGGAUUUUGGGUUGGAUUGGAGGGUCCCCGGCGGCAUCGUCGUCGGGAUAAAGGCUUUGUUUUUCCUUCCUUCUUCUUGGGACGCAAAACGCCGGUAAAACGGCGGUUCCACAGGGUUUUACUUUGAAAAAAUUAGGGUGUUCAAAGCAGGCGAAUCGCCUUGAAUACAUUAGCAUGGGAUAAUGAAAGAUGACUUUUUGGUCUAUUU